UCGGGUGAGCGGCGGACGGGUGAGUAACGCGUGGGAACGUGCCCUUUGGUACGGGAUAACUGAGGGAAACUUCAGCUAAUACCGUAUGUGCCCUACGGGGGAAAGAUUUAUCGCCAUUGGAGCGGCCCGCGUUGGAUUAGGUAGUUGGUGAGGUAAAGGCUCACCAAGCCUACGAUCCAUAGCUGGUCUGAGAGGAUGAUCAGCCACACUGGGACUGAGACACGGCCCAGACUCCUACGGGAGGCAGCAGUAGGGAAUCUUGCGCAAUGGGCGAAAGCCUGACGCAGCCAUGCCGCGUGAAUGAUGAAGGUCUUAGGAUUGUAAAAUUCUUUCACCGGGGAAGAUAAUGACGGUACCCGGAGAAGAAGCCCCGGCUAACUUCGUGCCAGCAGCCGCGGUAAUACGAAGGGGGCUAGCGUUGCUCGGAAUUACUGGGCGUAAAGGGCGCGUAGGCGGACAGUUUAGUCAGAGGUGAAGCCCAGGGCUCAACCUUGGAAUUGCCUUUGAUACUGGCUGUCUUGAGUUCGGGAGAGGUGAGUGGAAUGCCGAGUGUAGAGGUGAAAUUCGUAGAUAUUCGGCGGAACACCAGUGGCGAAG
rnacentral:rRNA from 1 species